rnacentral:rRNA from 1 species
ACACGCAUGACACACUGCAUAUCAAUAAGCGGAGGAAAAGAAACUAACAAGGAUUCCCUUAGUAACGGCGAGUGAAGCGGGAAGAGCUCAAAUUUGAAAUCUUCAAGGUUCUACCUUGACGAAUUGUAGUUUAUAGAAGUGUUUUCUGUUAGUAGAGUGGCAAAAGUUCUUUGGAAUAGGACAUCAUAGAGGGUGAGAAUCCCGUAUUUGGUCAUUCUUUCUAGCUUUGUGAUACACUUUCAACGAGUCGGAUUGUUUGGGAAUGCAGUCCAAAAUGGGUGGUAAAUUUCAUCUAAAGCUAAAUAUUGGCGAGAGACCGAUAGCGAACAAGUACCGUGAGGGAAAGAUGAAAAGAACUUUGAAAAGAGAGUUAAACAGUACGUGAAAUUGUCAAAAGGGAAGCGUUUGACACCAGUGUUGUUUUUCCGAAAAUCAAUUACGAAUGUUUUAUUUUUGAGAAGUUAUGACUUCAUCGGCUUGCUUCUCUCUUUAUGAAACUUUCUUAAUGCACUUUUCGGUUAACAAGUCAACAUCAAUUUCUUUUGUUGUAAAAGGGUAUGAGGAAGGUGGCUUUCUUUUCGGAGAAAGUGUUUAUAGCCUUGUACCUCUGCAAUCGGAGAGAUUGAGGUCUGCAGCGUAGAUCCUUCGGGGUUAGAUACAUUUGUGCUAAGUUAUAGCUUUUCAUAGACAACUUGUUGACUAUGUUUAGUCUUGUAGCUUACUCGCUUAUGCUAUUUUACCUACGCUUAGGAUGUUGAGCGCAUGUCUCUCUCU